rnacentral:rRNA from 1 species
UUGCGGUUAAAACGCUCGUAGUUGGAUAUUUGUUGGAGAGCGCCGGUCCACCCAAGUGGUGCGUACUUGGUGCUUCUUUGACAUCUUACUGGAGAACGUACGUGCGCUUCGCUGCGUGUGUGCAUGAACCAGAACUUUUACUUUGAGGAAAUGAGAGUGUUUCAAGCAGGCCAUUGCCAUGAAUACGUUAGCAUGGAAUAAUAACAUAGGACCUUGAGUCGUUGUUGUUGGUUGACGACACAAGGUAAUAAAAUUAGGGAUAGUUGGGGGCAUUCGUAUUACAAUGUCAGAGGUGAAAUUCUUGGAUUAUUGUACGACGGACUACUGCGAAAGCAUUUGCCAAGGAUGUUUUUUUUAAUCAAGAACGAAAGUUAGGGGAUCGAAGACGAUCAGAUACCGUCGUAGUCCUGACCAUAAACUAUGCCGACUAGAGGUUGGAGGAUGUUCAUUUUAGUCUCCUUCAGCAGCUUGAGAGAAAUCAAAGUCUUUGGGUUCCGGGGGGAGUAUGGUCGCAAGGCUGAAACUUAAAGGAAUUGACGGAAGGGCACCACCAGGAGUGGAGCCUGCGGCUAAAUUUGACUCAACACGGGGAAACUUACCAGGUCCAGACAUAGGAAGGAUUGACAGAUUGAUAGCUCUU